GUUCCUCUGGGACAGAACCCUUAAAUUCAACUAUUGUUUAAACUCCCAGGCCCUGCAAAUUCUGUUUGAUUAGUGGCUCAGCAGCAACAUCGCUGCUGUCAAUCUCCAGGUAGACACAGUUUAUUUGGUUGGCAGGACAAAGCUGGUCUUCUUUGGGAAAUAUGGCAUGGUUCUAACAUUGAGCCAGUGAAGCACCACAAGAGAGGAACAUAUCAAUUUCAGACCUACAUAUAAAUUGCUUUCUUUACUGAACAGACCCAAGGUUAGAAAAGGAGGAGAUGUUAGUAAUAGCAAUGGUUUGUUUCAAAUCUGGAAACCCUCUGCUUUUUUCUUUUUUUACCCAUGAAGAAGCAGGUAGCAGAAUGAAUGAGAUGAAGUCCAGGAAAUAAAGCGAUUAAGAAUUCUGGAAAGAAGUAAAUUCUAAAACUGAUAAUCUUUCAAUCUCUCCCAGAAAUUUUUAAUCUUACCAACUGAUUCUCUCUUUGGAAGGUAAGCAUAAUGAUAAUUAGUGCCUAGCCUACUCUAUACCAGACACUAGUUGCUUUUUUUUUUUUAACCUAUAUUAAGAUCUGACCUUCUACAGCACUCUAAGAGGUUAGGCAGUAUUUUUAUUCCCAUUUUUAAAAAGUAAGAACAAGGAACAGAGAAUAUCAGGAAUUUACUUCAGGUUUCAUAGCUACUUAAGUGGAAGUCAAGGGUUGAAUUCAGGUAGUUCAGAUACAGUAGCUUAAAAUACUCCAAACACUUUGCAAUAAAAGG
rnacentral:lncRNA from 1 species